GCCGGGCGUGGUGGCGGCGCCUGUAAUCCCAGCUACUCGGGAGGCUGAGGCAGGAGAAUCGCUUGAACCCGGGAGGCGGAGGUUGCAGUGAGCCGAGAUCGGGUCAUUGCAUUCCAUCCUGGGCGACAGAGUGAGACCCUGUCUCAA
rnacentral:SRP_RNA from 1 species